ACAAGGCAAGGAAGAACAAACGAGUGAUCCAGUUUAUCAUGUAAUGUGUCAUCUAGCGAAAGGCAGACUCGAAUCCCUGCCAGCGGACCGACUGAUCUGCCAGUGUACCAGCUCAAGGGCGCCAUGCAGAAUGUUAACUGGCCGUCACCUGCCUUGCUGACUGGCGGAGAUGAAGGCUCCCUGCUGGAUGUCUUGACCCCCUCCUCCUGCUGGUGUUGCCCGCCACGCCUGAUAACUGCCGCCGCCUUCACGAUGCUUCCUCGGCUCUCCCACAAGCUUCCUCCUCGACCACCACCACCACCACCACCCACUCAUCACUGACUCUCAAGGAAGUGAUGUCCAGCAGCGGCUCGGAUAUCCGGCAGGUCAGGGUCAGGUGGGUCGGGGCGAGGUCAGGUGGGGUCGCGGCGAGGGUGAGGAGGUCAGGUGGGCUGCGGCGGUAAUUGUUCGGUGACGAGGCUGUUACUUGUGGCAGGUCGUUAAGGUGGCGCCGGGGGUCGUGUGUCGUCUGUCCCUUGCUGCCUGCCCUCUCCCCCCUCUCUUCUUCCU